CUUUCACUCCUCAGAACUCUAAGUAAAUGCAAGAGCAGUAAUUGACUGUGUAAAUCACUUCAUUUGUUUGUGAAGCUAAAAAUCUACCUCCUCCACCCCCACCUAACACAGUGGGAAUAGUAACUUCCAGUUCUCUCCCAACUCUAGGACAUGUCCAACCUGUAAAACCCACCUGUUCUGUCACCCUCAGCUUCUGGUGUCUACUUUCUAGACUGAAGGCAAUACUGGAAAGGUCGGAUUCAAGGGCUUUCAGAUUGACCACCCAUGAAUAUGGGGCUGCGACCCCUAAGGAGGACCUCAGGUGUCUUUUCCCAAGCGAACGUUCUGGAUCUGCCCUUUCUGCGGCUCACCUCCCCAGCCGGUCUUUUGGCUUCAUCUUUGAUUGCUGGCUCUUGUGCUAUUGGAUCAGUGGGGACAUCUAUCUUCUGUCUUCAAACAUCAGAGUUUCUGGUUCCUGGGCCUUUGGACUUGGACUAGAACUUUACUACCAGCUGUCCUGGUUCCCUAGCUUGUGGACAGCAGAGCGUAGAACUUCUUAGCCUCCAUAAUCACGUGAGCCAAUCUUUCAUAAUAAAUCUCCUUCUCUCUCUCUCUCUCCCCCUCCC
rnacentral:lncRNA from 13 species